UAAAACCCCUCUUAAACCCUAACUAUUAUCCUCUGCAUACUUUUUUCAUAGGUGGUAUUCAGAGAAGUUUGUCAAAGGACAGUGGGGGAAAGAGGAGUGUGUUUCUGAGUGGCAAAAAUACAGAGCUUGCCUUUCUGAACAUUUGGAUGAUAAGCAUUUGAGUCGUUUUUUGGAAGCUGAAAUAGUUCCAUCUGAUUUAGGAAAGCCAGUUGACGGUGUUUCUCAGUGAAUUUUAUACUUUAAUCUUUAUUUAACACGCUAGAGAACAAGUUAGAAGGCAAUAAAUCUGCAGAACCUUCUAGCAAG